CUUCCCUGGAUUUCCUGCUCAGAUAGAUUCUACCAGGUUGCCUGAAUGUUGAUGAAAAUGAUCUGGACGGCCACAUUCCAUGUUGCGUGUGAACAAACUGGGCACUGGGAGGAGACGCUGAAUUUGGCCCUGGAGUCUGAGCUUUCCUGUCUGCCUCCCCAACUACAGA